rnacentral:rRNA from 1 species
UACGGAAGGGGGCUAGCGUUGCUCGGAAUCACUGGGCGUAAAGCGCACGUAGGCGGACUCUUAAGUCGGUGGUGAAAUCCUGGAGCUCAACUCCAGAACUGCCUUCGAUACUGGGAGUCUCGAGUUCGGGAGAGGUGAGUGGAACUGCGAGUGUAGAGGUGAAAUUCGUAGAUAUUCGCAAGAACACCAGUGGCGAAGGCGGCUCACUGGCCCGAUACUGACGCUGAGGUGCGAAAGCGUGGGGAGCAAACAGG